rnacentral:rRNA from 1 species
UACGGGGGGAGCAAGCGUUGUUCGGAUUUACUGGGCGUAAAGGGCGCGUAGGCGGCGCAACAAGUCACUUGUGAAAUCUCCGGGCUUAACCCGGAGCGGCCAAGUGAUACUGUCGUGCUAGAGUGCGGAAGGGGCUACUGGAAUUCUCGGUGUAGCGGUGAAAUGCGUAGAUAUCGAGAGGAACACCUGCGGCGAAGGCGGGUAGCUGGGCUGACACUGACGCUCAUGCACGAAAGCGUGGGGAGCAAACAGG